GUGGUGAGCAAGGGGAGUAGAAUAGAAGAAGGGGUACAACCACCGGAUGCCGCCGUACCGCAGGUACCGGAAGCCGGACCCCAGUCGCUGGUACCUCCGGAGGCCCGGAGGUUGCGCCCGCCGCGCCACCGCGAGAGCGAACAGCCGCUGCUGCUCGUGGUCCGACGGCUAAAGGUUCAGGUGCGGCUGGCCAGGGCGUCGGUGCAGGCUCGACGGCGAGCCGAGGUUGGGAACGUCAGCUACGAAAAGCGGCGGCGUGUGACCACUUGAAUGCACGUCCACGUCCUCAUCCCUCUCCCUCUAGGGUACAGUUCUCCUUCGGUAGCGACUACUCGGCGAGCAUUAGCGAGGACAAGCGGAGCGGCUUGCUCGGGUAGUGGCCGUACUGCUAUCGUAGUGUCGGGAGGUUUCGUAUCAGCCGCAUCAGGGGCUAACGUAGUAUUGCGUGAGGGCUCGCUUGUUUACACAAUGAGCACAAGUGUGUAGAGUAGAGGCGGUCGCGGGCCGGGACUACGCGGUAGCAGAACCACGUCAAUAUCUUCUACUCCAAGUACAACCGACCCAACUGGAAUUUGCCUUCACGGUCAAACGGUCUCCACAAGGUAGAGCCCUUUACCGUCGAGAAGCUCUGCAACUUCAGAAGAAGAUAGAAAUGUAGUUGCUGUACGUAUGACGCAAGGAGCAUCCUCUGCAGGUACUAGCAUUUCAGUAACUUAGGUCUCGAGGCAUCUUGUCCUUGUGACGGCAGCUACGUUGACUGGAGUUUUAGGUUCCCUGGUGUGCUAGAACAUCAGAGGUACAGCCCCUCGGUCUUACCCAUCCUCUACCACUCUAACGGCGUCGACAAACGGCUCGUCGGUGGGGAAACGACGAGGAGUCGGCGGUCUUACUCGUGCUUCGUCGCUGGUUUGGGUCUUCUUCCGAUUCUUGGUCGUCGGGCAUCGGUAUCCUCUUAUUCGGAACCUUUAAACAACGUCGUUGUUUGUCUCCCCGUUUGCCUUAAUCACUGGAACGGACCAAUGCUUACUUACUAUGAUAUACCUGCCUCGUCAACUCAGAAACCGUUAGCAGUAUGCGGUUACGUAUAAUGGGUCAACUGCCCCGCUCCUUUCUGGAACCUGUUUAAUAAUCACCCACCCGCGUCUAGUUCACCCACGUCCUGAAAAGUCUGUUCACCUAUAACACCUGUUACAAAAUUUAUCGCCCGAUAACAGUUUAUCGCCGCCUCCAGUUUUAGUCGAUAUCGCCUCGAUACUGCCCGAUAUCGUCCGAUAUCGCCCGAUAAACAUGUAUCCUAAUAAAUCGCCGUGGAACGACUUUUCCGAUAUAUCGCCCGAUAUCGCCUCGAUAUCGGCCGAUAAAUUUUGUAACUAAUACCUUACCAGAACUUAUCGGAGUCAGAACCACGGCACUUGACGCCCCGUCUACGUAUAUAUGAAGGCAGUGGAGCUUCAUUCCGCACCGAGAUCCAUCCGGCGGCUUGAUCUUGUCGAUGAGUUACCGCUGCAUGUAGUGUGCGGAACCCGCGCGUUCAGC
rnacentral:rRNA from 1 species